AUCUGGCUGACAAUUCUCAAAUAGGACGAAACGCGCGUCCUGGAU
rfam:Schistosoma mansoni strain Puerto Rico chromosome 1, complete genome